rnacentral:lncRNA from 1 species
AAGCGGCCUACUUGGCCCUUUACACCGAUCCACCGUGGACCGGGCGGUCCACGGCUGGGCCUGUGGACUGCGUGGGCAUUUCAUGCGGUCCACGAUACUAUUCCAUGGACUGAAGCAUGAUCGAACGAUGUGGGUGGCUUCCGAUCUUGAUCCAACGGUCCAGAGGUUAUUUGGGUUGAUUAAGGAGUCCUAAUCAUGGUCUUAGUCGUGAUUAAGGUCUAUAAAAGGCUCUGUACAUAGAGAACAGAGGCAGUGGUUCUGUUUCUCGCGCCGUACGAGCCAUACGGAACCCG